rnacentral:rRNA from 1 species
GUUAUAUGGUCAAGUGAAGAAGCGCAUACGGUGGAUGCCUUGGCAGUCAGAGGCGAUGAAAGACGUGGUAGCCUGCGAAAAGCUUCGGGGAGUCGGCAAACAGACUUUGAUCCGGAGAUCUCUGAAUGGGGGAACCCACCUAGGAUAACCUAGGUAUCUUGUACUGAAUCCAUAGGUGCAAGAGGCGAACCAGGGGAACUGAAACAUCUAAGUACCCUGAGGAAAAGAAAUCAACCGAGAUUCCCUUAGUAGUGGCGAGCGAACGGGGAUUAGCCCUUAAGCUUCAUUGAUUUUAGCGGAACGCUCUGGAAAGUGCGGCCAUAGUGGGUGAUAGCCCCGUACGCGAAAGGAUCUUUGAAGUGAAAUCGAGUAGGACGGAGCACGAGAAACUUUGUCUGAACAUGGGGGGACCAUCCUCCAAGGCUAAAUACUACUGACUGACCGAUAGUGAACCAGUACCGUGAGGGAAAGGCGAAAAGAACCCCGGAGAGGGGAGUGAAAUAGAACCUGAAACCGUAUGCGUACAAGCAGUGGGAGCCUACUUGUUAGGUGACUGCGUACCUUUUGUAUAAUGGGUCAGCGACUUAUAUUCAGUGGCAAGCUUAACCGUAUAGGGUAGGCGUAGCGAAAGCGAGUCUUAAUAGGGCGUUUAGUCGCUGGGUAUAGACCCGAAACCGGGCGAUCUAUCCAUGAGCAGGUUGAAGGUUAGGUAACACUGACUGGAGGACCGAACCCACUCCCGUUGAAAAGGUAGGGGAUGACUUGUGGAUCGGAGUGAAAGGCUAAUCAAGCUCGGAGAUAGCUGGUUCUCCUCGAAAGCUAUUUAGGUAGCGCCUCAUGUAUCACUCUGGGGGGUAGAGCACUGUUUCGGCUAGGGGGUCAUCCCGACUUACCAAACCGAUGCAAACUCCGAAUACCCAGAAGUGCCGAGCAUGGGAGACACACGGCGGGUGCUAACGUCCGUCGUGAAAAGGGAAACAACCCAGACCGCCAGCUAAGGUCCCAAAGUUGUGGUUAAGUGGUAAACGAUGUGGGAAGGCUUAGACAGCUAGGAGGUUGGCUUAGAAGCAGCCACCCUUUAAAGAAAGCGUAAUAGCUCACUAGUCGAGUCGGCCUGCGCGGAAGAUGUAACGGGGCUCAAACCACACACCGAAGCUGCGGGUGUCACGUAAGUGACGCGGUAGAGGAGCGUUCUGUAAGCCUGUGAAGGUGAGUUGAGAAGCUUGCUGGAGGUAUCAGAAGUGCGAAUGCUGACAUGAGUAACGACAAUGGGUGUGAAAAACACCCACGCCGAAAGACCAAGGGUUCCUGCGCAACGUUAAUCGACGCAGGGUUAGUCGGUUCCUAAGGCGAGGCUGAAAAGCGUAGUCGAUGGGAAACAGGUUAAUAUUCCUGUACUUCUGGUUACUGCGAUGGAGGGACGGAGAAGGCUAGGCCAGCUUGGCGUUGGUUGUCCAAGUUUAAGGUGGUAGGCUGAAAUCUUAGGUAAAUCCGGGGUUUCAAGGCCGAGAGCUGAUGACGAGUCGUCUUUUAGAUGACGAAGUGGUUGAUGCCAUGCUUCCAAGAAAAGCUUCUAAGCUUCAGGUAACCAGGAACCGUACCCCAAACCGACACAGGUGGUCGGGUAGAGAAUACCAAGGCGCUUGAGAGAACUCGGGUGAAGGAACUAGGCAAAAUGGCACCGUAACUUCGGGAGAAGGUGCGCCGGCUAGGGUGAAGGAUUUACUCCAUAAGCUCUGGCUGGUCGAAGAUACCAGGCCGCUGCGACUGUUUAUUAAAAACACAGCACUCUGCAAACACGAAAGUGGACGUAUAGGGUGUGACGCCUGCCCGGUGCCGGAAGGUUAAUUGAUGGGGUUAGCGCAAGCGAAGCUCUUGAUCGAAGCCCCGGUAAACGGCGGCCGUAACUAUAACGGUCCUAAGGUAGCGAAAUUCCUUGUCGGGUAAGUUCCGACCUGCACGAAUGGCGUAACGAUGGCGGCGCUGUCUCCACCCGAGACUCAGUGAAAUUGAAAUCGCUGUGAAGAUGCAGUGUAUCCGCGGCUAGACGGAAAGACCCCGUGAACCUUUACUGUAGCUUUGCACUGGACUUUGAGCCUGCUUGUGUAGGAUAGGUGGGAGGCUUUGAAGCGUGGACGCCAGUUCGCGUGGAGCCAUCCUUGAAAUACCACCCUGGCAUGCUUGAGGUUCUAACUCUGGUCCGUAAUCCGGAUCGAGGACAGUGUAUGGUGGGCAGUUUGACUGGGGCGGUCUCCUCCUAAAGAGUAACGGAGGAGUACGAAGGUGCGCUCAGACCGGUCGGAAAUCGGUCGCAGAGUAUAAAGGCAAAAGCGCGCUUGACUGCGAGACAGACACGUCGAGCAGGUACGAAAGUAGGUCUUAGUGAUCCGGUGGUUCUGUAUGGAAGGGCCAUCGCUCAACGGAUAAAAGGUACUCCGGGGAUAACAGGCUGAUACCGCCCAAGAGUUCAUAUCGACGGCGGUGUUUGGCACCUCGAUGUCGGCUCAUCACAUCCUGGGGCUGAAGCCGGUCCCAAGGGUAUGGCUGUUCGCCAUUUAAAGUGGUACGCGAGCUGGGUUUAGAACGUCGUGAGACAGUUCGGUCCCUAUCUGCCGUGGACGUUUGAGAUUUGAGAGGGGCUGCUCCUAGUACGAGAGGACCGGAGUGGACGAACCUCUGGUGUUCCGGUUGUCACGCCAGUGGCAUUGCCGGGUAGCUAUGUUCGGAAAAGAUAACCGCUGAAAGCAUCUAAGCGGGAAACUUGCCUCAAGAUGAGAUCUCACUGGGAACU